GCAUAUCAAUAAGCGGAGGAAAAGAAACCGUGCUGUAUUACCCUAGCUACGGCGAGUGAAGAGGGAAGAGCCCAAGAUUGAAAGCUGGCGUCUUCGGCGUCCGCAUUGUAAUCUCAAGAAGUGUUUUCCGCUUCGGACCAUGCCUAAGUCCCUUGGAAAAGGGCAUCAUAGAGGGUGAUAAUCCCGUACAUGGCAUGGAGCGCCCGAAGCUUUGUGAUACGCUUUCUAAGAGUCGAGUUGUUUGGGAAUGCAGCUCAAAAUGGGUGGUAAAUGCCAUCUAAGGCUAAAUAUUGGGGAGAGACCGAUAGCGAACAAGUACAGUGAUGGAAAGAUGAAAAGAACUUUGAAAAGAGAGUUAAAAAGUACGUGAAAUUGCCAAAAGGGAAGGGUAGGAGGUCAGAGAUGCGUCUUGGGAUUCAGCCUUGCUUUUUGCAUGGUGUUUUUCCCAAGUUGCAGGCCAACGUCGGUUUUGGGCACUGGAGAAGGGUGGAAGGAACGUGGCACCUCUCGGGGUGUGUUAUAGCCUUCUACUGGAUACAGCGACCGAGACCGAGGACAGCAGCGUACUCGCAAGAGCGGGCCUUCGGGCACCUUUACGCUUAGGGCGUUGGCAUAAUGGCCCUCUACCACCCGUCUUGAAACACGGACC
rnacentral:rRNA from 1 species